rnacentral:rRNA from 1 species
UACGAAGGGGGCUAGCGUUGCUCGGAAUCACUGGGCGUAAAGGGUGCGUAGGCGGGUCUUUAAGUCAGGGGUGAAAUCCUGGAGCUCAACUCCAGAACUGCCUUUGAUACUGAGGAUCUUGAGUUCGGGAGAGGUGAGUGGAACUGCGAGUGUAGAGGUGAAAUUCGUAGAUAUUAGGAAGAACACCGGUGGCGAAGGCGGCCCACUGGUC